UAACAAUUAACAUCUGCAUACAAAAAGAAGCGGAGACAGCUAUGCAGCCAAACAGCGAAAAGAUGCAAAAUAAAUCCCAAGCACAACCUGUCCGGGUGAAAUACACUGACGUUUAGAGGUCUCCCGUAGUAACUUGCCCACAGAGCUGGCGUAGCGGAAGGGACUCGGAAUGCUGUUGUCCAUCUGUGGUUGGAAACGGGACUGGACGACGCAUUAUUGAGGCGGCGAGCCACUGAUAGAGCGUCUACAUGCUAAACAUGUGGAAAGUCAGGGAAAUGGUGGAUAAAGCCUAGCAAAUGAGAAACAGUACCACCGUGAAGUGGCUCGGGCGGUGAUGUUGUGUAAGGACAACGACCUCAUGCUCAACUCCUCAAAAACCACAGAGAUGGCAAUACAGGAGAAGAAAGAACCUCAAGGCCCCCGUCAUAAUCACUGACCAACCAAUAACCCUGACAGAUUCGUUCAAAUUCCUGGGUACUUACAUCAGUGGCUCACUGAAAUGGGACAUCAACUCCAACCACAUCAUCAAGAAGGCCCAGCAGAGACCGUGCUUUAUAAGACAACUGAAAAAGUACAAGGUUAAACAACAGCUGCUUUUUCAGUUUUGUGAGGCUGGGGUAUAUGUGUAUAUUAGUCAUGUAGGAGCUACCCCAUGCUGUACCGUAUACACACCACUGACCUUGGAUGCCUGGCAAUAAAAAGUAUAUUGUAUUUCACUUUUGUUUUUAAAGUAUUUCUUUUUUUAGCAGUUCAAUGUUCAACUCAAUUAUAAAUGGUUAUAGGUCUGUCACUUUUUAAAAUAAGGUGUUUUUGAAUUUAUUAAUGUUUAUAGGUAUCAAAUAAUUAUUUAGUUAUUUGUCACAUGCACCGAAUACAACCGGUGUAGAUCACAACUUAUACUUAUCUGUACAACAUAAAAUGGGUCAAUUUGGUUUGAUUUGAUUAUGUAUACCUGGGCCAAUGGGCAUUCAGGAGAAUGGACGUUUACAUGUUCAGAUAGAAAUGUAUUGUGUAGAUCAAAUGUGACCGUCAGAUUUGAAUACUAUUGGAGAUUGUGUGUUCUAUUCAUUCUAUUUCUGUCUUCAACAUGCAGUUCCAGAUACAGCCCUCCAUUAGGCCUAGUUGAAGGCAGCCAAUCUAAUAGUUUCAGAAAAGUAGUCACUUCCUGAGAUCUGUAUUCAAAUAUAUUUUUUAAAGUUGGCAUUUUUAUAUUCAAAUAGUUGUAGUCCCCUCCAAAGUAACUAUUCCCCCAGAAAUAUUUACUUUCCCCAAAGCGUAGUUAAAACUAUAGUUAUCUCAGAUCAGCACUGAAUGUAUAGUUUCUUUCUCUGUUUUAUGUUAAUCUAUCCACCAUGAAACACACAUGCUUCAUAGUAUUAAAGAAGUAUCCUGUUUGGAACAAACCUGUUUGAGUUGUUGCCAUUUGUUGAUCCUUGUGUAGGCUAUGUGUGAUCAAUUGGCUGUUUUCCUCAGAUUUGAUAUCAUUGGCUCAUUCAUCAGUCUCUGGUCCUGUCUUAUUUCCCCAGCUCUGUUCCAUUGUCCUUCCAUCUGGCCCUCUGUCACUGAGCACUUGACCCUUGAACUCCUAAGGAUCUGACCACCUGUCUGUGGUGAUGCCCAGGCUAAACCCAGCUGCCAUCUGUGAACUAAUCAGACCAGUGGUCACACAGGGUCA